GUUUCGCCCAGCGUAGUGGCCCGGUCGCCGCUCCGAGCAACCGAUCUCGCGUGCAACGCCGAUCGCGACACCUUUCCCUCUCGUCGCGUGUGUGUCGUUACGUCAGCUCGUUCUUGGUGUAUCUUUUGGUGCGUGAGUGAAGUAUCUCUCGCGAGAAUUGGAGAACCGUGCAAAGUGGCGAUCGGUAGGGUGGUUAUCAGCCGAUUGAUUGUUCAUAUUCGGGAAAAGGAGUAAUUUGUAGAAAGUAAAUACUACGUAUGCAACUGUUUUGUUGUAGCGUGUGACGUUUGGUCGAUAUCAGGUUAAUUUAGUUGAAUCUGAUCGAUCGAGAGCAGAUUGAUAAAGAUCGUUUGGAUAAUCUGCAACGGAUCUGUGCGAGAAGUGGAUUUACAUUGAAUCGAAUUGAAAGAAAGUUACUUUCAAUCGACACAAAAAUUCUUCGAGUCGGAUAGGUCAAUAAUACGGUGGUCGGUCGGUAACCACACGAUAACCGAUCGAUCCUUACACCACUCUUGUGCAAUCUCUUCAACAUCUAUCUUCGGACGAGAAAAAUCCAUCACAGACCGGGUGAUAGAACGAACCAGUGAAUUGCUCUCUUACGAAGGAGGUCGCCAGUGUUUCUUUUUUAGCGUCGAUCGCGAAACAAAAGCGGAAGUGCGGCCAGCAUCGUCGUGCGAUAUUAGUCGAUAUUGGUGUCGGUGCGCUCGUUUCAAAGAACGUGGGGACAGUUUGGUGGUUCGAGCGAAAGAUGCUGCUACAGUGAGGGAGGAACAAGCGGAAGCAACGUGGCGGGUUUCACCGUGGCCGUGAACAA